rnacentral:rRNA from 1 species
CCCUUAGAUGUUCUGGGCUGCACGCGCGCUACACUGAUGCGAUCAACAAGUUUUUCCUAUGUCGAUAGACACGGGUAAUCUUUUGAACUCGCAUCGUGAUGGGGAUAGAUUAUUGUAAUUAUUAAGCUUCAACGAGGAAUUCCUAGUAGGUGCAAAUCAUCAGUUUGCAUCGAUUACGUCCCUGCCCUUUGUACACACCGCCCGUCGCUGCUACCGAUUGGUUGAUCUGGUGAAUUAUUCGGACUGCCGGCUGAAGGGGUUUCCUCAUCUGCCAGCGGAAAGUCUUGUUAACCCUAUCAACUAGAGGAAGCAGAAGUCGUAACA